rnacentral:lncRNA from 1 species
CUCAUAAAUGGUAUUCAUCUCAAAAAAUGUUGCUUCACAUUUUGUUUAGUGUUCUCCUGGCCGUGGCUCUUCUUACCUACUUGUGUCUGCUUAUAAUCGCGGCGACGAUAUUCCGUGAUUACGACUUUCCUAAAAACGUCAUAUCUAUAAAUAACAGGUAUGUUAUAACAGGUAUGGUAAAUUUGUGGUAUAAUCACACCAAUUUUGUUGCAAAUCGCUUCAUUUAUAGCUUAUUCAGUCUUUGUGUUGAUUAGUUUGAUUUCAGUGGAUCAUAUUCAUAUGCCCUAUGACACAUUUAGACAGAUUGCCCCCUACUUAAUGAAGUUUGGUUUUUUCCCAGAAACGUCUACUUGGUGUUCUCGUAUUUCUGGUUUUUCGUUGGUCUUCCAAUGGGUGUCUUCUCCGCCAUAUCUCGGAUCCUGAGGACAAUGGUUGUGGGAGCUCUGAUGUUGCCAAG